UUCUUCGGGGCAGGGUGAAAUUCCCGACCGGCGGUAUAGUCCGCGAGUACAUCUUUUAGAUGUAUUGAUUUGGUGAGAUUCCAAAACCGACAGUAAAGUCUGGAUGGUAGAAGAG
rnacentral:ncRNA from 1 species